UUUUGGAUGUCAGUAAGUAAUUUUAAUCAUUACAAUAAAAAUAACUUUUUGCUUGUAGUAACCCUAUUUUUGUCAUAACUGCACUGCUAUACAUUGGAAAAAUAACUAAGACAAGUUUACAUAAGUAGGAAGGAAGAAAUAUGCCAUGAGAAGAGAAAUAUAAGCUAUAAACACAAUACAAAUUUAAAAUAAAAGAACAUAUGCCUAAAGCCUUGUGUAAUGCAGUUUGGUAAAUCCAGUCACUCUUCUACACUUUAUGUAUAGAAGACUAUCUGCAGUUACAGUAUUAGGAGUAUGGACUGAUUAGAGGCUCUGAGCUACCAGUACAGCUUAGCUGACUAACUACAAACUCAGUCUUGACAUUCUGGGGCCAAAACACUGCACCUGAAAUCACUGGCUCCUCUUGAUCUUCAUGGGAACCACGUAGUUUGGGGGCUGCAGCACUGCUGACAGCUGCUUCCACGCUGAGCAGCCCAGGCUGCCACCAGCUGCAUGUGCCACCAGCCCUGGUCCUCCUGGGACUAUGCUGCUGGCUUUGAGUCAGAGCCAGCAUGCUUAAAAUGGUCCAAGUGCAUCUAUGGCACCUGUUCUGAUGUCUCUUGAGUGCCAUGUGGGCAUUGCAUCAAUUAAUGGGAUCAGCAAGGGAGGACCAGCACUGUGUGAGAAGUACCACACAAGGGACACGAGCUCAGGGUCAGGGAAGAGAGAGGAGCUCAUACGGGUUGAUGGCUGAAGAACAGAAUGAGGCAACAAGUAGAAUUUGGAGUGGUUUAAAAGACGGAACUAAAGAGACUACGUGUAGGAAGUUGCUCUGGAAAAGAGAUUGAAAUGUCGGAUGAGACAUGGGAAAGCAAAAAAGAAACAGGAGGGGAAAAGUAGGGAAAGAGAUGGAGGUGAGACUAGGCAGGGUGUAGUACAGGAUGUCUGGGGUAAGAGAAGCAACUCCUGAACCAAACAUCCAAAAGUAGAGCAGUCAGAAGGAAGAAGGAAGAGGAAAAAGGAAGGGGAGAGCAGGCAGAGAGGAGUUCAAUGAAUAGUGGUUUUUCACGUGUUUUACUCUAAGGGACCUUGGGCACCAGCCUUUAGACCCAGACAGACAUGGCCAUGCCACAUUCCUGGGCUGCUGCUGAGUGUUUGACACUUAGAACUGGGCUGUGCAUAUUCCUAAGAUGGUACUGGUAUAAAGCUGGGCUUUGCCAGCAAAUUUACACUGCAUCAGAUAUAGUCUGUGCUGGCUGGAAUAGCAUGACAUGCCAUUGCUAAGUAAUGUAUAUCACAUAUAAAAUCUUUAUGCACAAUUAGCUGGGCUGAGCUGCUCUGCCAUCAGCUGUGGACAGUGUCUGUUUCAGCAACUGAUAUGCAAAGAGCUCAGUUUUCAGAUGCAACUCAGAGGGCUAUAAUUUUCCCCUAAAAAUGUAGAAUAUUGUGACAUUCUUAUUAUCUGUUGUUCUUUUCUCCCUGGUAUGUAGCACAGCUAGUUCUUUUUCCUGCUACAGCACUGCAGCUGCUGCCUCUAACACAGUAAAAGAUGCAGAAUCAGCCCAUGCCAGUGCAGGCAAAAAAAAAAGUGCAGUGCCAAAAAAGAAGUGGCAAUGAGAGAGUAAAACAGAGCAGCAGGAGGCAGGUGGUUUGGGAAGCUCUGGGAAACUGCAGAAGCAUGGAGCUGUGUGCUGUGCUCUGUGACUGAGUAGAGAACUUCCAGAGGGAAGAAGGAUACUUCACAAAGGCACAAACGGCAGUCACAGGGAUAUUGCUGUAUUUAGUGUUUGCAUUGUGAAAGUCAGGAUGGAACUUUAUGGCUAUAAAAACCCUAGCCCUGCCCAAAAAGUAGCUUUACAGAGCUUGUUUCUGUUCCCAACAGGUCUAAAACCAACAAACCAUAUGUGUAUUUUAACAUGUUCUUUAUAGCUGCCUCUGAAAUUUUCCAGGGAGGGAUGAAUUUUUAAAAAGUGAAUGGGGUGUGGCAGUGCUAUAGGCAAGUGAAUUGAUAGUAAAGAGAAAUACUAGAUCAUUCCCUGACAUUUUAAGAUGAUAGCUACUGGUUUAAAUAUAAAAUAACAGUUCAUGGACCAACAGUUAGAGAUGCUCCUCACUGACCUGCUUCAGUAAUUUGGGUUUUUUUUCUGGCUGCUGAACUUUAGAAAUCCUUAGAAGAUAAAUUUACAGGCUGUGUCUGCUCAGGGGGAAGAUUAUUAAACAAGCAACCUCAAACAAUUAAAUAAAACCUUAGCUAUAUACAAUCACUUUAAUUUUGUCCUUUGAUAUUGUUAAUCUGAUUAAAUUCUUUCCAAACAAACUUCACACAGAACUUGGCCUAUGAGGAGCGGACUGAGCCCAUAUGUAUCCUGACAGGAGUGUUUACUCAAAUGGAGUUAUCCCAGCCUUGCUGUGCAUACUUGGGGACGUAAAAUGGCCUGGGGACAGGAACUCAGAGAACAAUAAGGAUAGAGAAACUUAGAGGAAAUUACCUACUGAGAGAAGAGGAAUGCACUGAGAGUAGAAGAAUCAGUCAGACAGGAAGACAUCAGAUAUUGGGAAAAUGCCCAUGAAGAGGGAGCAAAAGAUGCCCAUGAAGAGAGGUUUAGAGAGGAGCAGUGUGGAGACAGAAGCAUUUUGAAGAGGGAGGACAAGGACUGCCAACACGGCAGGGCAGGGUAUGGGAAAAGAUAUUUCUAGGGGUGCAGAGCCCCAGCAAAGAAGGGGCACAAGUUCAGAGGCGGUGAAGAGGAAGAGACCAGAUAGCACUGACAUAAACUUUGACUGCUCUUCAGCCAGUAGACAAAUAUUUCUGGCUGCAGAAACAUUCUUUCCUUCCCCAUCUUCCUGGACAGGGGCAGAUGGAGACAUAGGCCUUGACUUAGGAAAUUUUGAGUUUGGCACUGUCAGAUCUGCUGUACCAGUGGAAGCUCACCUGGCUGGUCUGGGGCAAAGCAGGGCUGGCUUGUAGUCCCUGCCCUACAGUAGCCUUCUGUGGAGGCAGUGCAGGCAGGAAUGUACCAGAGCUUUCUGCACUGAUGGUCUUACUGCAGCCCAGGCACUGCUGGGCUUGACCUGCUGCUCAUUAACAGUGUUCAGGCAGAAUUCCCUGCCGGAGGACCAGUGAAGACCAGGGAUGGGGACAAUGUAGCCACACAAGCUCAGCACCAUACUGCUUUUGGGCAUGCUAAGAUCUGCAAUCCUUCCCAUGGAUGGACCAGCCUGGAGUUCUGGUACUCUGCUAGGUGGAGCCCAGGAGUGAAGCCCUCUCUGUUGAAUUGGGUGUGAGGGAAUUGAUCUGUCCUUGGACAGGGUUCCCUGGGCCUGGGGAAAAGAUUUUUCCCUGCCAUUCUAACCUGGCCCUUCAUUUGGCAGAGGAGUAGGGGAAGAUGGUUGCCCCCAGCCUGAGAAAGAGAAAUUUUUGGGGCCCCAAAUUACUCAAGAUGGUGGAGAGGGUGCCAGGAGUGACAAGAGCAGCGGGAUGGUAAUGAGGGGAUGCACAUCCAAGUCACCCUGCAAUAUAUUAGGGAAAAUGCCUCAGUGUUGGCACCACACUCUUCCAAAAGAGUCCACGGGCACCGGUGAGGGGCUUGCAAGGAUGGCAGGCAAGGAGAGCCCGUUGUGCAGUGCCACCAUCCUGCCGGCUGCAGAGCCGGUGAGGGCACUGAGCGUGCGGCCCAUGGAGUGGACAUGCUGAGUCGCCAAAAGCCACUGACGGGGAGUGCCUGGGGGCCCCCACGGUGAGUGAGUGUCUCCCGAGAGGGGGGGAACAAUCCCUCUCCGCCCAAGCCCCUGGGCGUGACUUGUGCCCGGCAUUGCAGAUGGAGGAGAGGAACGCAGUGAGGGGAUCCCUGCUCCCAGUGCCGCAGCUCUGCCAGGGCCCGCGGAUGAGCCCGGCGCGGGGGGCGGAAUUGGCACCUCGCUGUUCGCUUCCAGAGCUACCGGGAAAGAAUCGUCUUCUGCAGGAUAAAGUCCCUGUCUAGGCAGGUGAAUUGCCCGUGUCCAAAGUCUACAGGCAGGAGGCUGCCUGCUGCAAUUCCUGUGAGAGGGGUAACUUUUACAAUAUACGGCCUGAUUGCAAAUAAGUUACUAAUAAGCCGCUUUGGCGUAAGAACGGCUCUGUGCAUUAUUUCCUAAGAUUUGUUUAUUUGCAAAUAUUUCUUUGUUUUUCUUCUUUUUAAAAAAAUCAUUCGGGAAAAUUAGAAAAAAAAGGUACAGAAGUUAAUAUUUAGACAUUCAUACUAUUAAGUAAUAGAGCUAUAAACUCUCAAAUAAGGCACUUUCAUUUUACUUAACAAUAGAUAACACAACAGCGACAGUGGAACAGACCAAACAAAAGCGAUCACCAAAAUUGUUGUGACAGUACAAUUACCCGGCUAGGAAAUUUAUUCAAUAUGCUUUGCCAUUGCAUUGACACAGCAGGAAAAAAAAAGCCCAAAUGCUCAGAGAAUAAUACAAGAAGGCGGGAGGUAUUUGGGAAAAAAAAAAAAAAAAAAAAAAAAAAA
ensembl:lncRNA